UGCUUCACCAAGACAGACAGACAGAAAGAAAGGAAGAGAGAGAAAGAUGGAGAUGUUGAAAAGUGAGAUUCCAGUGGAGAAGGAAACAGUGUUGAUAUCUGAGGAUGCAAAGGCUGGUUUAGUUCUUGUAGACAUCAUCAAUGGCUUCUGCACCGUUGGAGCUGGCAACCUAGUCAGACAAAACACCUACAAGCUCACCCCCAAGAGCUUAUGCAUCAUAUAGGCCUUUACAUGGCUAAGGGAAGAGGGGCCAAGAUCGCCACACAACUCAACUUUCAUCACUGAGAAGAGAUUCGUCUUAUUAAUUUAAUAUGUAAUGACCUAAACAGAACACAUGUAUCUUCUACUAUUAAAUAAAUAAGCUCAUGUAUAUCCAGCCCCUUCUGAAUUCAAAUACCAAGUCAAGGACACAGUUCCUGCCUUCAAUCAUAAA